rnacentral:rRNA from 1 species
UAACAGAGAGUAGCUUGCUACUUUGCUGACGAGCGGCGGACGGGUGAGUAAUGCUUGGGGAUCUGCCCGGUCGAGGGGGAUAACCGUUGGAAACGACGGCUAAUACCGCAUACGCCCUACGGGGGAAAGCAGGGGACCUUCGGGCCUUGCGCGAUUGGAUGAACCCAAGUGAGAUUAGCUUGUUGGUGAGGUAACGGCUCACCAAGGCGACGAUCUCUAGCUGGUCUGAGAGGAUGACCAGUCACACUGGGACUGAGACACGGCCCAGACUCCUACGGGAGGCAGCAGUGGGGAAUAUUGCACAAUGGGGGAAACCCUGAUGCAGCCAUGCCGCGUGUGUGAAGAAGGCCUUCGGGUUGUAAAGCACUUUCAGUGGUGAGGAAAGGAGGUUGGCUAAUACCUGACCUCUGUGACGUUAACCACAGAAGAAGCACCGGCUAACUCCGUGCCAGCCGC